GACGAACGCUGGCGGCGUGCUUAACACAUGCAAGUCGAACGGAAAGGCCCUGCUUUUGUGGGGUGCACGAGUGGCGAACGGGUGAGUAACACGUGAGUAACCUGCCCUUGACUUUGGGAUAACUUCAGGAAACUGGGGCUAAUACCGGAUAGGAGCUCCUGCUGCAUGGUGGGGGUUGGAAAGUUUCGGCGGUUGGGGAUGGACUCGCGGCUUAUCAGCUUGUUGGUGGGGUAGUGGCUUACCAAGGCUUUGACGGGUAGCCGGCCUGAGAGGGUGACCGGCCACAUUGGGACUGAGAUACGGCCCAGACUCCUACGGGAGGCAGCAGUGGGGAAUAUUGCACAAUGGGCGGAAGCCUGAUGCAGCAACGCCGCGUGCGGGAUGACGGCCUUCGGGUUGUAAGCCGCUUUCGCCUGUGACGAAGCGUGAGUGACGGUAAUGGGUAAAGAAGCACCGGCUAACUACGUG
rnacentral:rRNA from 1 species